UUUCGGAAAGAAAGCAAUACCGUGGGUAUUGCGCUCCUGGAUGGGCUCAUGUCCUAUCAGCUUGUUGGUGACGGUAACGGCUCACCAAGGCUUCGACGGGUAGCUGGUCUGAGAGGACGAUCAGCCACACUGGCACUGCGACACGGGCCAGACUCCUACGGGAGGCAGCAGUAAGGAAUAUUGCGCAAUGGACGAAAGUCUGACGCAGCGACGCCGCGUGGGGGAUGAAGGUCUUCGGAUUGUAAACCCCUUUCGGGAGGGAAGAUGGAGUGGGUAACCACUUGGACGGUACCUCCAGAAGCAGCCACGGCUAACUUCGUG
rnacentral:rRNA from 1 species